rnacentral:rRNA from 1 species
GCCUACGGGGGCAGCAGUAGGGAAUAUUGCUCAAUGGGGGAAACCCUGAAGCAGCAACGCCGCGUGGAGGAUGAAGGUUUUCGGAUUUAAACUCCUUUUGUUAGAGAAGAUAAUGACGGUAUCUAACGAAUAAGCACCGGCUAACUCCGUGCCAGCAGCCGCGGUAAUACGGAGGGUGCAAGCGUUACUCGGAAUCACUGGGCGUAAAGAGCGCGUAGGCGGGAUAGCAAGUCAGAUGUGAAAUCCUAUGGCUUAACCAUAGAACUGCAUUUGAAACUGUUAUUCUAGAGUAUGGGAGAGGUAGG